GGGCCCUUAGCUCAGCGGUAGAGCACCUCACUCUUAAUGAGGUGGUCGAGGGUUCAAAUCCCUCAGGGCCCG
rnacentral:tRNA from 1 species